GGGCCCGUAGCUCAGCCGGUAGAGCAGCGGACUUUUAAUCCGUUGGUCGGAGGUUCGAUUCCUCCCGGGCUCACUA
rnacentral:tRNA from 1 species